rnacentral:rRNA from 1 species
UCGGCUUAGAGUUUGAUCAUGGCUCACAUUGAACGCUGGCGGCAGGCUUAACACAUGCAAGUCCAACGGUAAAGUAGCUUGCUACUUACGAGUGGCGGACGGGUGAGUAACGUAUGGGAAUUUACCGAAUGGAGGGGGACAACAGUUGGAAACGGCUGCUAAUACCGCAUAACGUCGAGAGACCAAAGGGUUUCGACUUGCCAUUUGAUGAGCCCAUAUGAGAUUAGCUAGUUGGUGUGGUAAUGGCUCACCAAGGCGACGAUCUCUAGCUGGUUUGAGAGGAUGACCAGCCACACUGGGACUGAGACACGGCCCACACUCCUACGGGAGGCAGCAGUGGGGAAUAUUGCACAAUGGGGGGAACCCUGAUGCAGCCAUGCCGCGUGUAUGAAGAAGGCCUUAGGGUUGUAAAGUACUUUCGUGGAGGAGGAAGGGUUUACGUAAUCGUGGACAUUGACGUUACUCCAAGAAGAAGCACCGGCUAACUCCGUGCCAGCAGCCGCGGUAAUACGGAGGGUGCGAGCGUUAAUCGGAAUGACUGGGCGUAAAGGGCAUGUACGC